rnacentral:lncRNA from 1 species
GCUCAACAUGUAAAAUAAAUCACAAUUCAUAGCUAAAAACAAAAAUAAAUAACAAGGUUUUCUGCUUGCAAUAAACAAUAACAUAGAAACAAACAAACAAACUAACAUAUCAAAUUGUAAAAUUCAUUUGGUAAUUUUCUAAAUUGUUCUGAUCUUGCAAUGAUGCUUUGUUCCUACAAUCUCUUGUGUAUAAUUAGUACUUGUGUAUAAUUAGUACACACCACAUAUUAAUAGUACUGUGGACUCAUUUAUUUAAAUAUAAAGUGGGUACCAAUUUCUGUGGAUUGAGGAAAAUUUUAAUUCUACAUGAAUCAAGGUUUUACCAAAGCCUGCAUCCAUUUCUAUAUAAUUUAAUUUUAAAUAUAACGCAUCUUCUGAUUGGCUGACGUUAUUUUGUUAUGAGCCCAUAGACAUAAUUUAGUCAUGUGACUGUGACGUCAUCAACAUUUUUUCAUGGUUUUCUACGGUUUAAAAUGGACUUUAGAAUUAAAUUAUAAGAAAUGACUAAUAUUUUUUCUGUCGAUUCAAAAUAACAUAAAAAAUGUGGUGCACACUGUUAAAUAACCCGCUAUGCGCGUUAUUCAGUGUGCACCACAUUUUUUAUGUUAUUUCUUCAUAGACAGAAAAAAUAUUACAGUCAUUCCUUAAAUAACAUUUGUAAUUGGUUAGACAUUAAAAUUCAUGGUUCGCAGGUAACCACAAAAUCAACGAAAAUUGGUAUCCAACAAAUAAUUAUGAAUCCACAGAGUCUAUGAAAUGGAUAAAUUUGUUAUGACAUACUGAAAAUUAAAAUGAGUAACAUGAUUAAGGAAUGCAUUAAGUACAUGUAUGAUUUUUGUUGUAGUUUAAUAUUAAUAAAACGUCCUGGCAAGUAUAAGAAUUGAUAAAAUUGAAUUAAAUCAAAAUCUUUUAAUUCUUUGGUAUAGGUGAACCACGAAAUUAAAUGUUCAACGAAUGACAAAUUUCCUACAGUCUUGUAUGCAGACUUCGUCAGAGCCAAUAAAUUCAAUAUCCACAAAUAUGUAAGUUUUCCUUAAACCAUGAAAAAUUUGUACCAAUGAAACCACAGUAUAUUGCCCAUGAGAUGUCUUUUCGUUAUUUUCUAUAUUAGGUUCAUGGAAUGUAUGACAGGAAUAUAAAGUGAAAAGAGUAAUUUUAAAAAAGUAAUAAAAAGUUGUUCUCAAGCAUUUCAGAAUAUUUUGUUAAAUGUCAUUAGGAACAUAUUUUUAUAAUUUUCCUUGCUGUUCACAAGAAAUAUAGAUUAAUUUUAUACUCCAAGACUCUUCUAACUUACCAUGGGAAAACAACUUAAAUUGACAAAAGCUCCUUCGAAAUAAAACUGGAUUUCACUGGAUUUCAACUUAUUCUUGUUCAUUUUACAAAAUAGUUUACAAAUCAAGAAAACAAAAUAUAUGACCUAUUUCUAUUUGCCAUGGGUACUCGAUUUAAGUAUCUUAUCCAAAACAAUAUUCAAAUUCUUUUAACAAAUUUUAGUUCAGUUUUUAACAAAGAAAGAGGUUACAUAUAAAUAAAAUAUUACAUCUAUAUCAUGUGACUAGAAUACUACUACAGCGGCAAGCAAUUAUUCAUAAAUCAUAGUUUAUUACACUUAUAUUCCAAUAGACCUGUAGUUAAAAAUAGACCAACAAUGGCCACCAAACCACAUAAUUUAGUUUUAGGUAUUUGAAAACUUAGUAAUUGGUAACUAUUCUCACAUAAUUUUUGCAUGCACAGAUUUAAUAAUUUCUUUUUUUUUCUGAUUAGGCUCAGAAAACAAAUCUUAUUUUCAAACAUAAGAAUUUACAUCUCACACAGGAAUGGAAAUUGAAUUCAAACACUGUUUCAAUUUUGUUUAAGACUUUUUGAGAAAUAAUAUCAAUAUAAUUUCUACACCUAACCCUGAAAAAAAAAGAUUGAGUCUUUCAUGGAUUCAGUGUUUCUUCACAAUCAAAACUAGUUUGAUAUUUUUUUACAGUGGACUGUGCAAUUCUACCAUUCGAUAGUCUUUAAUUAUGAAAACUUAGAAGAACCUCUCAAUCAAUUAGAGGAUUUAUAUGCAUUUUUUUGGUACAUAAUGGUUUUGAUUUUCAAAGUAAAAACAAAAAAAUACUAAAUAAAUAUAUCACAAAAAUACAC